UGAUUAAGCCAUGCGAGUCGAAUGUAGCAAUACAUGGCGAACUGCUCAGUAACACGUGGACAACCUGCCCUUAGGAACGGAGAUAAACCUCGAGAAACUGGAUAUAAUACCCGAUAGGUCUCGAUUGCUAGAAUGCAUCGAGAUUUAAAGCUCCGGCGCCUAAGGAUGGGUCUGCGGCCUAUCAGGUAGUAGUGGGUGUAGCGUACCUACUAGCCUACGACGGGUACGGGUUGUGAGAGCAAGAGCCCGGAGAUGGAUUCUGAGACACGAAUCCAGGCCCUACGGGGUGCAGCAGGCGCGAAAACUUUACAAUGCUGGCAACAGCGAUAAGGGAACCUCGAGUGCCAGGUUACAAAUCUGGCUGUCGAGAUGCCUAAAAAGCAUUUCAUAGCAAGGGCCGGGCAAGACCGGUGCCAGCCGCCGCGGUAAUACCGGCGGCUCGAGUGGUGGCCACUUUUAUUGGGCUUAAAGCGUUCGUAGCUGGGUUGUUAAGUCUCUUGGGAAAUCUGGCGGCUUAACCGUCAGGCGUCUAAGGGAUACUGGCAAUCUUGGAACCGGGAGAGGUGAGGGGUACUUCGGGGGUAGGAGUGAAAUCCUGUAAUCCUCGAGGGACCACCUGUGGCGAAGGCGCCUCACCAGAACGGCUUCGACAGUGAGGGACGAAAGCUGGGGGAGCAAACCGGAUUAGAUACCCGGGUAGUCCCAGCCGUAAACUAUGCGCGUUAGGUGUAUCGGUGACCACGAGUUACCGAGGUGCCGAAGGGAAACCGUGAAACGUGCCGCCUGGGAAGUACGGUCGCAAGGCUGAAACUUAAAGGAAUUGGCGGGGGAGCA
rnacentral:rRNA from 1 species